rnacentral:rRNA from 1 species
UACAGAGGUGCCGAGCGUUAGGCGGAAUCACUGGGCUUAAAGCGUGUGUAGGCGGAUGCCUAAGUACCUUGUGAAAUCCCACAGCUCAACUGUGGAACUGCUUGGUAUACUGGGUGUCUUGAGCCACUUAGGGGCUACCGGAACAAAUGGUGGAGCGGUGAAAUGCGUAGAUAUCAUUUGGAACGCCAAUGGUGAAAACAGGUAACUGGGAGUGUGCUGACGCUGAGACACGAAAGCCAGGGGAGCGAACGGG